CCACGACAUCUUGACCUCCUCAUAGCUCGUGUGGCAGGGGGAAAUGAUCUUAAUAUAAGUGAUCAUUGUCGUGGAUCUGCAUUUUCACAAACACCUAGUCAGUAAUUUAGUCAGGCCAUAUGCCUACACUAGCUUCUGCAUAUUAUUAGGGAAAACUUAAAUAAGAGAUGGAGCAGUAACCAAGAUAAACUUUAAUAAACAUUUGAUUAACCUUGAGGAAGUUGACUCUGAGUGUCUCUUCAACACUGUAGCUCUAGUACCAUAUACUAAAGGGAUGCUUCAUGAUACAAAGUCUUUCAGUAGUACAAACCAAUUCAUGUAUUGGGAAGCACAGAUCACAUAGUCAAGUAAGCAUUCAUCAUGAACCAAGAAGCCUCGUGUUUCCGAUCAUUAGAAAAUGAUGUGAAAGGAUGGGAGUGACUCGACAAGGAAAAGAUAGGCCCAUGUAACGCAGAGUGACCCCAAGGCAUGUGAGUCCUCGGUUUCGAUGUUGCAUGGGAAGUAGGGAUUUGCCAAGGUAUGCACAAUGGAUGUCAAGUGAUUUGUACCAUGAGUGCUAUGCUCUACAUGAUGAAUAAAUGGGUGGUAAGGAAAGUAACAAGGUAUAAGCCUAAGCAAUAAGACUCAUCUCGCUAAAUUAAGACUAAGAGCUUGAUAGAGAGAAAACAUGGCAUCUAUCUUAUUCUACUUUACUUCUUU
rnacentral:lncRNA from 1 species